AUUAAAUUCUCAACUCCACCGAUUUGCUUCGAGUGAAGCUUGGACUUUGGAGCGUGCUGGCCCUCGAUUGGGUCGGCUCCUCUUUAAAUGCAGCAGCGGAGUCUUCUUUGACUUUUGUGCCAUCGGUGUGAUAAUCAUGUUGCGCCGUGGGCCCUGGGUCUCAGUCCGCUUACAAUCGUCUUCGGACAGCUUAUGAAACGCUUGACCUCAAAUCAGGUAGGACUACCCGCUGAACUUAAGCAUAUCAAUAAGCGGAGGAAAAGAAACUAACAAGGAUUCCCCUAGUAACUGCGAGUGAAGCGGGAAAAGCUCAAAUUUAAAAUCUGGCGGUCCCUGGCCGUCCGAGUUGUAAUCUGGAGAAGCGUUUUCUGCGUUGGACCGUGUACAAGUUUUCUGGAACGAAACGUCAUAGAGGGUGAGAAUCCCGUCUUUGACACGGACCGCCAAUGCUCUGUGAUACGCUCUCGAAGAGUCGAGUUGUUUGGGAAUGCAGCUCAAAAUGGGUGGUAAAUUCCAUCUAAAGCUAAAUAUUGGCGAGAGACCGAUAGCGAACAAGUACCGUGAGGGAAAGAUGGAAAGCACUUUGGAAAGAGAGUUAAACAGUACGUGAAAUUGUUGAAAGGGAAACGUUUGAAGUCAGUCGCGUCGGCCGAGACUCAACCUUACUUAUGUUUGGUGCACUUCUCGGUGGACGGGUCAACAUCAAUUUUGAUCGUCGGAUAAAGGUCUGGGGAAUGUGGCAUCUCUCGGGAUGUGUUAUAGCCCUGGGUUCGGAUACGACGGUCGGGAU
rnacentral:rRNA from 1 species